rnacentral:tRNA from 2 species
GCCGGUGUAGCUCAGCGGUAGAGCAGCUGUUUCGUAAACAGCAGGUCGUCGGUUCGAAUCCGACCACCGGCU